rnacentral:lncRNA from 1 species
AGCUGCUGGCUGCAUCAGAUUCUCUCAUGGCUCUGUAAAUACAGGAUAAAUAUUCCUCUAUGACUAGUUUAUUCAUUGCAGCUCUAGGGAAGCUACUCUGGGACCCAGAUGGAAGCCAGAGAGAUGACCCAAGCUUCUUUCUCAUCUUCAGCACCGCAUCUAUCACCACAGCAAGCUGGGCCCUCAAGCAUCCACCAGGUGGCGCAUACAGCAGAAAGAGAAGAGGCCAGGGACGGAUGCCUACACAUGCCUGAUAUUAGAAGAUCAAGAGCCAGGAAAGGACACACUGAGAUCCAGGAGAAAAUCCCAGAGGAACAAAACACUGGCCUGGUGUGGUGACACAUGUCUGAAAUUCCAGCACUUGGGAGGUAGAGAGAUCAAGGUCAUCCUUGUCAUAUGAUGAGUUGGAGACCAGCCUGGACCACAUGAAGCUCUGCCCCAGCCUGGACCACCUGAAGCUCUGCCCCAGCCUGGACAACCUCAAGCUCUGCCUUAAGGGGGGCCAGUGAGGGAACCAGGUAGUUCAGUCAAUAAAGUUCUUGUCUUACUAGAAUGAAAAGAAGACCUGAGUUUGCUCCCCAGAAUCCACAUUUUAAAAUGCUGGCAUGGUAGCAUGUCCUUGUAAUCUCAGAGUAGGGGAAAGGAGGUAGAGACAGAUGGAUUCCUGGGACCACUCAACAGCCAACCUAGCUUACACAGGCAGCUCCAAGAAAGUGAUGGACCCUGUCUCCAAAACAUGAGAGGUCUCCCUCUGACAUCCACAUACAUGUGCAUGCAGAUCAUGCAAACACUUGUACACCUCUCUCUCUCUCUCUCUCUCUCUCUCUCUCUCUCUCUCUCUCUCUCUCUCUCUUUCUCUCUCUCACAGACACACACACACACACACACACACACACACACACACACACACACACACACACACACAAUGACUAAGCUCUCAGUUUAACUUAGGCAGCUCUCACUUUGAACUCCUGCAUCUUACCUUCCACUCAGGUUGUUUUGUGACUAAAAAUGCCUGAAGGACUCAUGUCUUUGUGGCAUGCAUGUCUGUGCCACCCAUGGCCAGAGAAAUUUACAUUGAAAGGCUGAUCCUUGGCCAAAGGACAAUAGAAACCAACAGUAAAUGCUUCCCCUUACAUCCACUGGGUAGACAUGUUUGAGUCAGGUUUCAAGACUGAUCUUUAGAGAAAGAGAAUCAGGUGUCUAUAAAAAUAGUUACAAGAAGAGCAUCUUUUUCUUGUUUUAUAGCAGCAGCACCACCACCACUCAUACCCUGAGGUCACUCCUCAGUAUUCAACUGCCUACACACCAGCAUUUGAGACACAGUAGAACAUGACAGGAAGAGGAAAGGAGUGACUGGUACAGCCGGGCCUUGAAGAAGGUGAGGGGAGUUGGGUGGAGACUGCCUGUUACAAGAAGAGAGAAUGUUUUCUCCGUGUGCCACAGGGGCACAGGUAAGAUGACUGUGUAGGAAUCAGUUACAAUCAUGUAUCAGCAUGUGCCAUUACCAAGUCUGCUUGGAGUUUGGAACUUCACAGACAACAGGUUACCUGUCUGCAUUUUAGUUUGGAUUCAGAGAAGAAAUUUGAUAAAUGUCAUUUGUUGAAUAUUUGUAUCUAUAUUUGUGCCUAUAGGGAAAUUUGUUGCAAAGACCUGGCUUAUAUAAUGGUGAGGGAAAGAGGGAUGAGAACUUUCCUAUUCUAUCCUAUCCACUUUUCUAUUGUUCAGGCUUUUUCUUACAGUAUUCACACAUUGAUUUUACUAAGUACAUGGGUGAUACUUUAAAACCUCUAUGCACGUUAAACAUAGAAUUUGCUCCUGGGAGGCAGCUGUGUAGAGAACAUUUUUUAACUUACAGAAUAUACAAAGCAGUCAGCCACAAGCAUUUCCGUUGUUCUGAAUUACUCAUCAGCCACACUUUUAAAAGAUGUUUAGUGUAGCUUGUGCCUAGUGUAUUCUGUGAUAGUUCUCUUCAAGCUCUGUUAUAAAUUAAUGACACAUGCAGAUACAUGAAUGAAAACCAAUGAUGGAUUUCAGAAUGACUGGGGUUGAGGUAUGCAGAGUUUGUAACUGACUCCUAAACGAUAUCAGAGGAACUCGAGUUGGCCAAGACCUUUUGGUGCCAGGCAGGAGGGACUGAGGCUGAAACUCCAAAGCCAUUCCACCACAAAUUAUCUCAGCCAGUCACCUUGGCCUGGGGCCUAGACUGUUUAUUUUUAACUUAGCAUGGUUUUAGUUUUCUCCACACUGAUUUCAGAUCUGUGCAUUACUUGGCUCCUGACAUAGGGUUCAUGUUCAUUACAUUCCUGUUGAGAGUUUAAACACAUAUCCUGAUAAUGACUUCCAAUUCGGCCAAAGAGUGGCAACCUGAAAUAUCAGCAAGCUAUUUCUCUGAAGUGAGAAGCAUAGGCUAUCAUCUAAUUGAUCAUUGACUGAGUGACUGACAACGAAUUUCUAACUUAAAGGGAGUCGGAGAAUUAAAAAAAAAAAUGCUCAAAGUGACCAGCAUGCAAGAGAAAAUGGGAAAUUUCACCAGAGUUUAAAAAUGAAUGAAGUGUAAAUGUUGGCAAUUUAAGACAAGACAUUAGAGAUUAAUUCUGUGGUCUUAUUGUAAUAUUGAUUCAGCUAAGCAAAGAACCGUUAAGUUGAAGACAGUUCAGCUAAGUUUCCAUGUAUCUAAAUGCAAAAGGGGGGAGGUGGGAAAAUGUAAGCCCAGCAUGUCAAACUACAGGACAAUGUCAUGAGGGAUAUGGGAGCACUGUGGGAGAGGUGAAUAUGGUCAAAUCACAGUGCAUAAAAUCCUCAAAGAACAAUAAAACUGAUACAAUAAUUCUCAAAGAAG